rnacentral:tRNA from 1 species
GGGCGCGUAGCUCAGUUGGAAGAGCAUCUGACUUUUAAUCAGAGGGUCGCAGGUUCGAUUCCUGCCGCGCCUACCA